GCAUCGAUGAAGAAACGCAGCGAAAUGCGAUAAGUAAUGUGAAUUGCAGAAUUCAGUGAAUCAUCGAAUCUUUGAACGCACAUUGCGCCCAUUAGUAUUCUAGUGGGCAUGCCUGUUCGAGCGUCAU
rnacentral:rRNA from 1 species